UGGGGAAUAUUGCACAAUGGGCGCAAGCCUGAUGCAGCCAUGCCGCGUGUGUGAAGAAGGCCUUCGGGUUGUAAAGCACUUUCAGCGAGGAGGAAGGGUUCAGUGUUAAUAGCACUGUUCAUUGACGUUACUCGCAGAAGAAGCACCGGCUAACUCCGUGCCAGCAGCCGCGGUAAUACGGAGGGUGCAAGCGUUAAUCGGAAUUACUGGGCGUAAAGCGCACGCAGGCGGUUUGUUAAGUCAGAUGUGAAAUCCCCGCGCUUAACGUGGGAACUGCAUUUGAAACUGGCAAGCUAGAGUCUUGUAGAGGGGGGUGAGAAUUCCAGGUGUAGCGGUGAAAUGCGUAGAGAUCUGGAGGAAUACCGGUGGCGAAGGCGGCCCCCUGGACAAAGACUGACGCUCAGGUGCGAA
rnacentral:rRNA from 1 species